UUCAUGAGUAAUGGAAUGUUAAUUGGCUGGUGGCGGCAUGUUCAACUAUGGGAAAUGAUGAGCUCCUACUUUUAUGCCACCUCUAUGCCGUAGGUUGACCAUACUAUUGUGAGAAUCUCGGCCAAGAUCAUUCUUUAUAUUAUGUUGGUUCAUCUUGGAAUUCGUAAGGCCGUUUACCGUCGAAGGAUUUACACACAGAACACAAUCAGUGUGAUUAUGCUUUUUUACACUUCUGUCCAGAGCAAUGGAUAUGUAUUUUGUAUUGUACGACUACCCUCUAAUGCACUACUCAGCCUUCAAUCUCUGUAUGUACAAAUGACUUGAUCUAAUUAUUAUGAAUGACCUGUGGAGUGCGAUGCUUUCUAUAUAAAUGACUUGUUCUAAUUCUGAUUUAUCAUAUUGCAUAGCUUUUGA